rnacentral:rRNA from 1 species
GCUCGAGUGGCGAACGGGUGAGUAACACGUGAGUAACCUGCCCUUGACUUUGGGAUAACUUCAGGAAACUGGGGCUAAUACCGGAUAGGAGCUCCUGCUGCAUGGUGGGGGUUGGAAAGUUUCGGCGGUUGGGGAUGGACUCGCGGCUUAUCAGCUUGUUGGUGGGGUAGUGGCUUACCAAGGCUUUGACGGGUAGCCGGCCUGAGAGGGUGACCGGCCACACUGGAACUGAGACACGGUCCAG